rnacentral:rRNA from 1 species
UGGGGAAUUUUGGACAAUGGGCGAAAGCCUGAUCCUGCAAUGCCGCGUGAGUGAAGAAGGCCUUCGGGUUGUAGAGCUCUUUUGUCAGGGAAGAAACGGUGAAAGCUAAUAUCUUUUGCUAAUGACGGUACCUGAAGAAUAAGCACCUGCUAACUACGUGCCAGCAGCCGCGGUAAUACGUAGGGUGCAAGCGUUAAUCGGAAUUACUGGGCGUAAAGCGUGCGCAGGCGGUUUUGUAAGUCUGAUGUGAAAUCCCCGGGUUCAACCUGGGAAUUGCAUUGGAGACUGCAAGGCUAGAAUCUGGCAGAGGGGGGUAGAAUUCCACGUGUAGCAGUGAAAUGCGUAGAUAUGUGGAGGAACACCGAUGGCGAAGGCAGCCCCCUGGGUCAAGAUUGACGCUCAUGCACGAAAGCGUGGGGAGCAAAACAGGAUUAGAUACCCUGGUAGUCCACGCCCUAAACGAUGUCUACAGGUUGUCGGGUCUUAAUUGACUUGGUAACGCAGCUAACGCGUGAAGUAG